AGACCCUAUCCUGUUUUGUCUGUUGUGGUGAGUUUUAUAUUUACUUUGAUUGCGUUACAUGAUGAGAGCCUAAAAGGACCACUAUUUCAUUUUUAUAGGUGGGUAUCAACUAAUAGCAGUUACUAAGGUAUUUAGAUUUUUGUAGAUAGCAAUCAGAAUCUUGUAUUUACCUCUCUCUUAUCCCUUUGCAGUACAUGUUGCAAUAUUUUUUUCCUUUUACUUGGACUUGCUAGUGCUCUUUAUGAGUGUAACAUAAGUGGCUGUCGUUGCAGGGGAAGGAUGAAAUAAUCUGACCCCUUCCCCCAUCUCCACUACGGGGAGGUUCCUAGCCACUUGGUUUGCUUAAGCACAAUGCCAGUAUCCAGUCCCUCAACGCAUCUCAUCUGUGCAGAUUCCAUACUUGAUAAAACCCUUAUUUUAAAUAGAAGAAACCAGCUGGA